GAGCGGUAUUGUUUCUUCGGAAACGAGAGAGCGGCGCACGGGUGCGGAACACGUGUGCAACCUGCCUUUAUCUGGGGGAUAGCCUUUCGAAAGGAGGAUUAAUACCCCAUAAUAUUUUGAAUGGCAUCAUUUAAAAUUGAAAACUCCGGUGGAUAGAGAUGGGCACGCGCAAGAUUAGAUAGUUGGUAGGGUAACGGCCUACCAAGUCAGUGAUCUUUAGGGGGCCUGAGAGGGUGAUCCCCCACACUGGUACUGAGACACGGACCAGACUCCUACGGGAGGCAGCAGUGAGGAAUAUUGGACAAUGGGUGAGAGCCUGAUCCAGCCAUCCCGCGUGAAGGACGACGGCCCUAUGGGUUGUAAACUUCUUUUGUACAGGGAUAAACCUUUCCACGUGUGGAAAGCUGAAGGUACUGUACGAAUAAGCACCGGCUAACUCCGUG
rnacentral:rRNA from 1 species